UACGUAGGGUGCGAGCGUUUAAUCGGAAUUACUGGGCGUAAAGCGUGCGCAGGCGGUGAUGUAAGACCGAUGUGAAAUCCCCGGGCUUAACCUGGGAACUGCAUUGGUGACUGCAUUGCUGGAGUAUGGCAGAGGGGGGGUGGAAUUCCACGUGUAGCAGUGAAAUGCGUAGAGAUGUGGAGGAACACCGAUGGCGAAGGCAGCCCCCUGGGCCAAUACUGACGCUCAUGCACGAAAGCGUGGGGAGCAAACAGG
rnacentral:rRNA from 1 species